ensembl:snRNA U6 U6 spliceosomal RNA
GUGCUUUGGCAGCAUAUAUGCUAAAAUUGGAAUGAUAUAGAGAUUACUAUAGUUCAAGUCCAAAGAUGUCACAAAAAAUCUUAAGUGCUCCAUAUUUUG